rnacentral:rRNA from 1 species
UACGGAGGAUGCAAGCGUUAUCCGGAAUGAUUGGGCGUAAAGCGUCCGCAGGUGGCUAUGUAAGUCUGCUGUUAAAGAGCAAGGCUCAACCUUGUAAAGGCAGUGGAAACUACAUGGCUAGAGUGCGUUCGGGGCAGAGGGAAUUCUUGGUGUAGCGGUGAAAUGCGUAGAGAUCAGGAAGAACACCGGUGGCGAAGGCGCUCUGCUAGGCCGCAACUGACACUGAGGGACGAAAGCUAGGGGAGCGAAUGGG